rnacentral:rRNA from 1 species
UACGUAGGGCGCGAGCGUUGUCCGGAAUCAUUGGGCGUAAAGAGCUCGUAGGCGGCCUGUCGCGUCUGCUGUGAAAUCCCGGGGCUUAACCCCGGGCGUGCAGUGGAUACGGGCUGGCUGGAGGCAGGCAGGGGAGAACGGAAUUCCCGGUGUAGCGGUGAAAUGCGCAGAUAUCGGGAGGAACACCGGUGGCGAAGGCAGCUCGCUGGGACGGUACUGACGCUGAGGCGCGAAAGCGUGGGGAGCAAACAGG